UACAGUGCUACUGGCCCAUAAUCAGGCAACUGCAGAGUCUUAGGGGGUUAUCUAAUGUAGUCUUGGGGUGGCUGGAUAGACUUCCCAAAGAAGGUGAUGCCGAAGCUGAGGUCGGAAAUUACGAAGAUCAGCUAUGAAGGCCUGAGGAGAGAAGACACAUAGUCAUGCUGACUAAACCAGAUCACCUAGAAUUACCAAAUGGAAAGAUUGUGCCUGCAGCCUGGCCUGUUGCCCACAGCGGUCUACCUGCCACACUGGGAAAGAUCGAGCAGAGACAGAGAAGAAAAGGAGGCUCCAUUUUUCAGGCUGCUCUCCCGCAGGCUCAUGUUUUGUGUUCAUGCCAGGCAGAGAACACAAAAUGUUCCAAUAAAUAAGUAUCAAAGGUUAGUGGUGAAAAUGAAGGAGGAGGAGGCAUUGCGUGAAAAACUAAACAUGCAAAAUAUUACACACAAAGAGAACCAAAAUGCAGGUUCACUGGAAAUGAUAGACAAUAUGUUAAAACAAGAGGAGAGAAGAGAGCUGAAAUAAUCAAAUGGAAACACACAAUUUAGGGCUAAGAUCUUGUUGUGUUCAGCCACAAAUGAUGGCCAGCAGUGAGGAAUCUGUGUGUUCUCCACACUCUUCGCUCCUGGGAAGUCAACUCACAUGGACCAUGAUAUCAAUAUCUGCUCCUUCCCCUAAUAUCUGUUUGACCUUGGGUCAGUUACUUAAACUUCCUAAGCCUUAGUUUCUUUGUCUGGAAAAUAGGGAUAGUUAUACCUACCACACAACCACUUUGUAAUGAAUAUGUUGGAAAUUAUAUGCAAAUUGGCUUCCGUUGGUGUUUGGAACAUAGUAGGUUUUUAACUGGAAUAUAAUAGCUACCAUUAUCAGUAUCAUCAUAUUAAUUUAUAUUUCCAUCUUCAGCCCUUAACCCAGGAUCUUCAGUAAAUGUUGAAUUCUCAAAUUUGUUAAAUUCACUUGUCUAUACUAAUAUUUUACUCUAGGUUUCUUAGAAUAUUCUAGAUAAUAUUAUUAUGUAGAAUAUGUUAUGUAAGCUUCAUCUUAUCUGUAAAUAUAGUUUUACUUUUUCCUUUCUAAUUUUUAUGUCGAUUACUUCUUUUUCUUGGCUUAUUGAAUUGGCUAGGAUUCCCGUACAGUGUUGAAUACGUGCAGCAAGACUGCACAUCUUGCCUUGUUCCUGGUCCCACAGAGAGAAUAUCCAGUACUUCACAAUAAGUAUGUGUUAAUUGUAGAUUUUAUUAGAUUGAGGAAGUUCCCUUUCCUUUCAAGUCAGUCUUUUUAUUUUAAACAUGUAUUGAAGUUUUGUCAAAUGUCUUCAUCUAUUGGAAUAAUUAUACAUAUCUCUUUUUUAUUCUGUUAAUAUUACAUUUCAAUCUUCUGUCUACCUAAAAUCCCUAGAAUAAUCUCCAUUUGGCUAUGAUGUGUUGUGCUUUUAUAUAUUACUGAAUUCUAUAUGCCAAUAUUAUUAAAAUUUUCUGUCUUUA
rnacentral:lncRNA from 1 species